rnacentral:rRNA from 1 species
CGCGUAGGUGGUUUGAUAAGGGUGUGGUGAAAGUCCGGGGCUCAACCCCGGAUCUGCCGUGCCGACUGUCAAACUCGAGGACUGUAGAGGCAGACGGAACUCCGGGUGUAGCGGUGGAAUGCGUAGAGAUCCGGAGGAAGACCGGUGGCGAAGGCGGUCUGCUGGGCAGUUUCUGACACUGAGGCGCGACAGCGUGGGGAGCAAACA